rnacentral:rRNA from 1 species
CAGCAGCCGCGGUAAAACGUAGGGUGCAAGCGUUAAUCGGAAUUACUGGGCGUAAAGCGUGCGCAGGCGGUUUGUUGAGACAGAUGUGAAAUCCCCGGGCUCGACCUGGGAACUGCAUUUGUGACUGGCAAGCUAGAGUGUGGCAGAGGGGGGUGGAAUUCCGCCUGUAGCAGUGAAAUGCGUAGAUAUGCGGAGGAACACCGAUGGCGAAGGCAGCCCCCUGGGCCAACACUGACGCUCAUGCACGAAAGCGUGGGGAGCAAACAGGAUUAGAUACCCCGGUAGUCCCUGUCUCUUAUAA